rnacentral:rRNA from 1 species
UACAGAGGGUGCAAGCGUUAAUCGGAAUUACUGGGCGUAAAGCGUGCGUAGUCGGUUAUUCAAGUCGGGCGUGAAAGCCCCGGGCUCAACCUGGGAAUUGCGUCCGAUACUGUCUAGCUAGAGUUCGGCAGAGGGAAGUGGAAUUUCAGGUGUAGCGGUGAAAUGCGUAGAUAUCUGAAGGAACAUCAGUGGCGAAAGCGACUUCCUGGACCAAUACUGACGCUCAUGUGCGAAAGCGUGGGGAGCAAACAGG